rnacentral:rRNA from 1 species
UACGUAGGGUGCGAGCGUUAAUCGGAAUUACUGGGCGUAAAGCGUGCGCAGGCGGUUAUGUAAGUCAGAUGUGAAAUGCCCGGGCUUAACCUGGGAACUGCAUUUGUGACUGCAUGGCUAGAGUUUGGCAGAGGGGGGUAGAAUUCCACGUGUAGCAGUGAAAUGCGUAGAUAUGUGGAGGAACACCGAUGGCGAAGGCAGCCCCCUGGGUCAAGACUGACGCUCAUGCACGAAAGCGUGGGGAGCAAACAGG